CUUAAGCUUCGGGAGGGCGCUUACCACUUUGUGAUUUAUGACUGGGGUUAAGUCGUAACAAGGUAACCGUAGGGGAUACUGCGGUUGGAUCACCUCCGUCCCUUAAUGAA
rnacentral:rRNA from 1 species